CAGGGAAUAGUUUAGUGAAAAUAUUAAUUUUGGAGAUUAAUGAAAGGAUUAGUAAUCUUUUCCCUGA
rnacentral:tRNA from 1 species